rnacentral:rRNA from 1 species
GACGAACGCUGGCGGCGUGCCUAAUACAUGCAAGUUGAGCGCUGAAGGUUGGUACUUGUACCAACUGGAUGAGCAGCGAACGGGUGAGUAACGCGUGGGGAAUCUGCCUUUGAGCGGGGGACAACAUUUGGAAACGAAUGCUGAUACCGCAUAAAAACUUUAAACACAAGUUUUAAGUUUGAAAGAUGCAAUUGCAUCACUCAAAGAUGAUCCCGCGUUGUAUUAGCUAGUUGGUGAGGUAAAGGCUCACCAAGGCGAUGAUACAUAGCCGACCUGAGAGGGUGAUCGGCCACAUUGGGACUUAGACACGGCCCAAACUACUACGGGAGGCAGCAGUAGGGAAUAUUCGGAAAUGGACGAAAGUCUGACCGAGCAACGCCGCGUGAGUGAAGAAGGUUUUCGGAUCGUAAAACUCUGUUGGUAGAGAAGAACGUUGGUGAGAGUGGAAAGCUCAUCAAGUGACGGUAACUAACCAGAAAGGGACGGCUAACUACGUG